AGCAGCCGCGGUAAUUCCAGCUCCAAUAGCGUAUAUUAAAGUUGUUGCAGUUAAAAAGCUCGUAGUUGAAUUUCGGGAUCAAUGCGUCGGUCGUGCUUUCGGGUACGUACUGGUGUCAUUGGUUUCUCCUUUCUGACGAGCCGUGAUGUCAUUUAAUUUGGUGUUACGGGUAGUUAGGACUGUUACUUUGAAAAAAUUUAGAGUAGUUUAAAGCAGGCUAACGCUUGAAUACAUUAGCAUGGAAUAAUGAAAUAGGACGCUCGAUCCUAUUUUGUUGGUUUUCUAGGAUUGACGUAAUGAUUAAUAGGGAUAGUUGGGGGCAUUAGGUAUUCAAUUGUCAGAGGUGAAAUUCUUGGAUUUAUUGAAGACUAACUACUGCGAAAGCAUUUGCCAAGGAUGUUUUCNUUAAUUCAAGAACGAAAGUUAAGGGGAUCGAAGACGAUCAGAUACCGUCGUAGUCUUAACCCAUAAACUAUGCCGACUAGGGAUCGGAUGAUGUUAAUUUUUAAUGUACUUCAUU
rnacentral:rRNA from 1 species